AGGUAGAGACCGAUAGCAACCACGUGAUCAGUAAAAAUCGUGUAUUUUCACGUGAAAUUAUUUUUCGGAAUUCCGUACAUCUCCAUAGAGUAGUUGAAAAACAAAAAGGGGUUCCGAAAGUACAAGUUGUUGCUGUGACUGAAUCGAUGAUUGAGAGGGUCGUCUCGACGAAGGAUAGAGAAAUUUGGCCAUAGUUUAGAUUAGGAAUACGUCAAUGUAAUAAUAGUGGGCUAAAUGUUUCGUCCGUGAAGAAUGGCACUUUUUACCUCACGAAAUUCACCACCAUGCAUAGCUGCGCUACAUAAACAAAGUUGUUGAUGUAGCGUGAUCGUGAUGUCCGAGUGCUGCGAGUUUCAAUACUGUUUAUGUAGUCAUUGAGAGUUUAAACAAAGUUUCUUCUGAGAAGAGGAAUUCGAUGGAUGCAUUCAACGUGGACAACGAAAUCAUAAUUUCGUUUGCAUCAUCCUAAGGACCAGUGCAAGUUGAAAUGGGCUUCCAGCCAACAACUUCAACAGCAAUUUGCCAUGAAAAUCACCAAGAAAGGUACUUCAUUUACAUUGAUGAUGUCAUAUCCCCUGGACCCCACAACUUUACAGGUUACAGAGAAAAUUCAAGAACUUCUGCAAAAUGUGGGACUUGGAUAGAAUCAAUAAUGUAUUUGUGAGCCCAGAGCAAUGGAUAUAUUGUGCAACAUACUAUUCUAAAGUGUGAAUUUAAUGGAAAACAAGUACAUGUACUCAUGUAUUACAUGUCUUUUUUAAGACAAUAA